rnacentral:rRNA from 1 species
AGAGUUUGAUCCUGGCUCAGGACGAACGCUGGCGGCGUGCUUAACACAUGCAAGUCGAACGGAAAGGUCUCUUCGGAGAUGCUCGAGUGGCGAACGGGUGAGUAACACGUGGGUGAUCUGCCCUGCACUUCGGGAUAAGCUUGGGAAACUGGGUCUAAUACCGGAUAGGACUACGAGAUGCAUGUCUUGUGGUGGAAAGCUUUUGCGGUGUGGGAUGGGCCCGCGGCCUAUCAGCUUGUUGGUGGGGUGAUGGCCUACCAGGGCGACGACGGGUAGCCGGCCUGAGAGGGUGUCCGGCCACACUGGGACUGAGAUACGGCCCAGACUCCUACGGGAGGCAGCAGUGGGGAAUAUUGCACAAUGGGCGCAAGCCUGAUGCAGCGACGCCGCGUGGGGGAUGACGGCCUUCGGGUUGUAAACCUCUUUCACCAUCGACGAAGGCCCGCUUUUUGGUGGGUUGACGGUAGGUGGAGAAGAAGCACCGGCCAACUACGUGCCAGCAGCCGCGGUAAUACGUAGGGUGCGAGCGUUGUCCGGAAUUACUGGGCGUAAAGAGCUCGUAGGUGGUUUGUCGCGUUGUUCGUGAAAUUCCCUGGCUUAACUGGGGGCGUGCGGGCGAUACGGGCAGACUGGAGUACUGCAGGGGAGACUGGAAUUCCUGGUGUAGCGGUGGAAUGCGCAGAUAUCAGGAGGAACACCGGUGGCGAAGGCGGGUCUCCGGGCAGUAACUGACGCUGAGGAGCGAAAGCGUGGGGAGCGAACAGGAUUAGAUACCCUGGUAGUCCACGCCGUAAACGGUGGGUACUAGGUGUGGGUUUCCUUCCUUGGGAUCCGUGCCGUAGCUAACGCAUUAAGUACCCCGCCCGGGGAGUACGGCCGCAAGGCUAAAACUCAAAGGAAUUGACGGGGCCCGCACAAGCGGCGGAGCAUGUGGAUUAAUUUCGAUGCAACGCGAAGAACCUUACCUGGG